rnacentral:rRNA from 1 species
UACGUAGGGUCCGAGCGUUGUCCGGAAUUACUGGGCGUAAAGAGCUCGUAGGCGGUUUGUCGCGUUGUUCGUGAAAACUCACAGCUCAACUGUGGGCGUGCGGGCGAUACGGGCUGACUUGAGUGCUGCAGGGGAGACUGGAAUUCCUGGUGUAGCGGUGGAAUGCGCAGAUAUCAGGAGGAACACCGGUGGCGAAGGCGGGUCUCUGGGCAGUAACUGACGCUGAGGAGCGAAAGCGUGGGGAGCGAACAGG